rnacentral:rRNA from 1 species
GACGAACGCUGGCGGCGUGCUUAACACAUGCAAGUCGAACGGAAAGGCCCUGCUUUUGUGGGGUGCUCGAGUGGCGAACGGGUGAGUAACACGUGAGUAACCUGCCCUUGACUUUGGGAUAACUUCAGGAAACUGGGGCUAAUACCGGAUAGGAGCUCCUGCUGCAUGGUGGGGGUUGGAAAGUUUCGGCGGUUGGGGAUGGACUCGCGGCUUAUCAGCUUGUUGGUGGGGUAGUGGCUUACCAAGGCUUUGACGGGUAGCCGGCCUGAGAGGGUGACCGGCCACAUGGGGACUGGGAUACGGCCCAGACCCCGACGGGGGGCAGGAGGGGGGAAUAUUGCAAAGGGGGGGGAAGCCUGAGGCAGCAACCCCGGGGGGGGGAUGGGGGCCUUGGGUGUGGAAACCCCUUUCCCCUGGGAAGAAGGGGGGGGGGCGGUAAUGGGUAAAGAAGCACCGGCAAACUACGG